rnacentral:lncRNA from 1 species
AGGUUGCUGCUGAAAACAGUGCUGGCAUUGGAGUGUUUAGUGAUCCAUUUCUCUUCCAAACUGCAGAAAGUGCUCCAGGAAAAGUGGUGAAUCUCACAGUUGAGGCCUACAACGCUUCAGCAGUUAAGCUGAUUUGGUAUUUACCUCGGCAACCAAAUGGCAAAAUUACCAGCUUCAAGAUUAGUGUCAAGCAUGCCAGAAGUGGGAUAGUAGUGAAAGAUGUCUCAAUCAGAGUAGAGGACAUUUUGACUGGGAAAUUGCCAGAAUGCAAUGAGAAUAGUGAAUCUUUUUUAUGGAGUACAGCCAGCCCUUCUCCAACCCUUGGUAGAGUUACACCUCCAUCGCGUACCACACAUUCAUCAAGCACGUUGACACAGAAUGAGAUCAGCUCUGUGUGGAAAGAGCCUAUCAGUUUUGUAGUGACACACUUGAGACCUUAUACAACAUAUCUUUUUGAAGUUUCAGCUGCUACAACUGAAGCAGGUUAUAUUGAUAGUACGAUUGUCAGAACACCAGAAUCAG